GUUUGCAUUAAUUAAAUACAACCUUGGAUCAAGAGGCAGAGUCAGCAACCAGUUGACAGGAAGUAGUCCCAGAGAGCUAGAGGAAGUCUGGAAAAUGGAUGGAGAAACACACAGGAAGUAGGAGGGAGGGACUUGGAGUGUGGCCCUCUCUUGGUUUGGAAGGCAGGAAAGAGUCCUUAUGCUGAGUUGCCUGCUAAAGAAGGUUGCCGGCUGGUCGCUCCUGGACGUCUCUGAAACACACAGGAAGUAGGAGGGAGGGACUUGGAGUGUGGCCCUCUCUUGGUUUGGAAGGCAGGAAAGAGUCCUUAUGCUGAGUUGCCUGCUAAAGAAGGUUGCCGGCUGGUCGCUCCUGGACGUCUCUGAGCACGCAGUUUUUCGCCCCAGCAUCUGACUUCCACGUCUUUGUUGCGUGCGAUGGAGGCUGUCAUCCCUCCUCCACACAUGGGGAUGACACAGGGAGCUGGGGCAGCCUGAUGGUGCUUGCGGAGUUAGUCACGCCCCAAGCCUGCGACUCACCUGGCUCUCUCCCACUUCCCAUCAUCACACCUGGAGGAAACUGACCCGCAGGAAGGCAGGAUCUUGCCCGGGACGCCAGGCACACAGAGACAAGGCUGCUGACUUUACCAGAGGCGCCUUCCUUCCUGCGCCUUCCGAGACCAUGAAAAGAAUCUCAAGUGCAUCCUAAGACCCGCGUCCACCUGUUGUGUGGAAGGGAGCCUGCUCUCAAGGACCCAGCCAGGGAGAGAGAUUUCAUCUCCAGGGCAGGAACCGCUUCCCAUGGCGACGCCUGCUUGAGUCGCAGCUCUGGUGCCCUUGGAUAUCAGAGGUUGGUGUCGGGUCCUCUGGAAUAGAGUCACAGGCUGCUGUGAGCCACCUGGUGUGGGCGCUGGGAGCCCAACCUGGAGACUGAAAAAGAAGUGGGGCAUGCCGCCACAGUGCACAUAUGGAGUUCCUUCCUCCCACCACGAGGGUCCCAGGAGUCAAGCUCAGGCCGCCACGCUUGCAG